rnacentral:lncRNA from 1 species
GCCUUCCGGGAGAACAGUAUGGAAGGCACGGUGGACACGCCCUUCCCAGCUGGAACAUUCGUGAGCCUGGAAUUUAAGCUGGGGCAGAAAAGCGGCAGGAAGAAGGAUUGGAAGAAACCCGAGCGCAAAGUCCAGCCCAAGGGGAGGAAGCGGAAAUGCCUGGCCUGAGUCAAACUGGGUUCUGAGGAGAAGGUUCCGGCACUGAUAUUCGUCUUCUCCAAGGCCCGGCCCCCAGCUGAGCCCAGCACUGCAUGGCGCCUCCUGGACCACUGUCGCGGGUGACCAGUGGAAGACCCCACCUCCCAGGGAGAGAACCCCACUAUAUCCCCAGCUAAUACAGCUGCUUCUCCUACCAAAAAUAAAUAAAAAUGAAUUAAAUUUUU